rnacentral:rRNA from 1 species
AGAGUGAACGCUGGCGGUAGGCCUAACACAUGCAAGUCGAACGGCAGCACGGUAAGAGCUUGCUCUUAUGGGUGGCGAGUGGCGGACGGGUGAGGAAUACAUCGGAAUCUACCUUUUGGUGGGGGAUAACGUAGGGGAACUUACGCUAAUACCGCAUACGCCCUUCGGGGGAAAGCCGGGGACCAGCAAUGGCCUGGUGCUGAUAGAUGAGCCGAUGUCGGAUUAGCUAGUUGGUGAGGUAAUGGCUCACCAAGGCGACGAUCCGUAGCUGGUCUGAGAGGAUGAUCAGCCACACUGGAACUGAGACACGGUCCAGACUCUACGGGAGGCAGCAGUGGGGAAUAGUUGGACAAGUGGGCGCAAGGCCUAGAUCCAGCCAUACCGCGUGGUGAAGAAGGCCUUCGGUUGUAAAGUCCCGUUUGUUACGGAAAGAAAAGCAAGUUCGGUUAAGUACCCGGUAGUUCUAGACGGUUACCCAAAGAA